rnacentral:rRNA from 1 species
AUGGGAGAGUACAAGGCAGGGAAGGAUGACGCCAUCGACCCGUCGCUUAGAUUGAUGGCACAUGGGUUGGGUCUGGGCAGAAGGCCGGCGCCUGCGGGGGGAAAGCAGCAGGAGUUUGUGCAGCGGCAAAUGAUGCCAUGGUCGGCCGUGGAGGGAGGCUCGCCGGCCGGAGCAGCUGGAACAAGGAGGCAGGGUCGGCCAUGGAGGGAGGCCCACUGGCCAGAGCAGCAUGAGCAACUGCAGACGCUGGUCAGCCCGAUGCACCGCCUCAGCCCCGCCUCCUCUGCUGCGGCCCCCACGGUCGAGAGGGGCAGCUGCGCUGUAGCUGGCGACGAGUUCAGCGGCCGCCGCCUCCUCUCCUAUUCGAAUCCAGUGCCUAUGGGUUCUCCUCGGUUGGAUUGUUCAUCCUUCUUCGCCGGUGGUGUGCUUGUCUGUUGCAAUAACUUUCAUGCGCUGGAUGAACACUGCCGGUUGAGGUUUGUUUCUUCCCGUUGUCUCCUGCGUCCACUGUUGCAUCGUUCUGCCAUUGCGAUUGAGGAAGAUGUUAAAUAA